rnacentral:rRNA from 1 species
GACGAACGCUGGCGGCGUGCUUAACACAUGCAAGUCGAACGGAAAGGCCCUGCUUUUGUGGGGUGCUCUACUUGCGAACGGGUAAGUUACACUUGAGUAACCUGCCCUUCACUUUGGGAUAACUUCAUGACACAUGGGCUAAUCCCGCAUAAGAUCUCCUGCUUCAUGGUGGGGGUUGGAUAGUUUCGGCGGUUGGGGAUGUACUAGCGGCUUAUGAGCUUGUUGUUGGGGUAGUGUCUUACCAAGGCUUGGACCGGUAGCCGGCCUGAGAGGGUGACCGGCGCAAUUGGGACGGAGAUACGGCACAGGCUAGUACGGGAGGAAGCAGUGGGGAAGAUUGCACAAGGGGAGGAAGCCUGAUGCAGCAAAGCAGAGUGCGGGAUGACGGCAUUCGGGUUGUAAACCGAUUUCGCCUGAGACGAAGCGUGAGUGACGGUAAUGGGUAAAGAAGCACCGGCUAACUACGUG